GCUGCACCCCGUGAACAAUAUUGUUAACAAGUUGUUCAACCAUCAGUACUGUUGCAAGUUGUUAACAUGAUUGUCAACAAGUUGCAACAAUGUUGAUGGUUCAACAACUUGUUAACAAUAUUGUUCACGGGGUGCAGC
rnacentral:miRNA from 1 species